CCCUCAAAUUUCAGACCCAUCACAUAUGUAAGUUUAAUUUGACUUCCAAGUACAAAAGGUGGCGAUAAUGCUCUUAAGGAUUUAUUAGCCAACAAACAAGAAGAAGGUGUUACAUCCGGGACAUUGCGCGCCUAAACGGGCUGAAACUUUUCUCACAGUCGCCAUUUUCUUUGACCCGCGAAUCGCGAUGCGGAGCAAACGAGGACGGAAAAUACAGAGAUUAAGUGUAUGUAAUGUUAUUCACACAGUAUUAAUUUUAUAACAUCGCAUUGUUUUAGAACGAAAUUUAUGUGUGUGUGUGCGGGUCGCGGUGCGGAGCUGACGAGGAGGUUGCUUUUUUUACAGGAAAACGCUGAAAGUAAGUGUUAUACCUAAUUUACAAUGCUUUUUAUAACAUCAUAUUGACAAAUCAAACCAUUGUAAACUCCCCAAAUUAAAAAUGGUAAUAUAAGUCAUUGGUUCUUGCAUGUCUCGUGACCAAAUAUCAUAUCAUAUCAUUAAGCUUGUACAUUGAGUUAUUUUGAUGUGUCGAUUUACUGGGUUUGAGUGCUAUUUUCGAAUAUUCAUUUGAAAUAACUCUUUUCAGUAUACUCAAACUUAAUAUAUUGAGUGAGUAAUUUUUUUUUUAAGUGAUUUUGUCACUUCACAAGAUAUGACACAUGACUUACAUUUUAACAAGUUUUUGUGGGUGCUUUAAGAAUGUGUUUUGUGUUCAUCAAAAGUGAGUUUUAUGGGUUUGGAAUGACAUUUUUGAGUAAAUUAUUCCUCUAAAGCCCUAAACACACCGCACGAUUUUCGGCUGGCAUCGUGAAACAAUCGUGGCGAUUUCUGUCUGGGACAGCCGAAAUCAUGCAGUGUGUUUAGGGCUUAAGGUUGUUACAGAUGGUUCAUGCUGGAAUAACUGAAAAAUCAAAAAUAAAUGUUUGAGUAUAAAAUCAUCAGUAUAUUGUCAAGUUGGAUGAAAAGAGCUCUUGUUAACAUUUUUAGGACACGUAACAUUUCCAUAUUGAAGAUUAUUGAUUGUCAUGCAUAACUUUUUGAUCAUUAAUAUUUGUUAUUUGCCUUAUAAUAAUUAGAAGUCUGGACUCUUUCUAGUAGGGCUGUCCUCGACUAAAGAUUUUCUAAAGACUUUUUUUUUUUUUUUUUUUUUUUUUACAUUUUAUUAGCCCCCAUUUCUAACAAUUUAACUAUCCCAAUAGGUUGAUGCUGGAGAAAAUUAACAAAGCAUCAGGGAACAUCUGCGUGUAAUGAAGGAGGAAACAGAGAAGCUUAGACCAAACGUAGAGCUCCUCAAAGAAAGGAUGGUGCUGAUAAAAUGCUAUCGAACUAAUUUUGUGUCCAAAUAUAGCACAGAGGAGACUGUCUCUGAGUUCUUGUGUUUCAUAUUGGCCAAAAUGCUCAGUACAGUAGUGUGUUAAUUUCCUCCUUAUUUAAUUGUAGGAGUUAUAACUAUAUUUUAAUACAUGUCUUUCCUCCUUUGCCUUCCUCUUAACAUAAGCUCCUUUCGGAUCUGUGAGACCACGCCGAUGUUGAUGCGGGCCAACAAAUUCUCACACAGCUCUCUGUAAUGACAUCCCAAGUCCUUCUAGUUUCACGGAGUCCCCUGAAGGAGAAAUUCAGAUGCAUGAUUAUGACUGAAGAUGGCAGACUGAAAAAAGGCCUACAGUUGGAAGCAGCUAUUCUGCUCUUGCCUGCUCUGUUCAAGGAGGACCCGGGGUUGCUGUUUGAAGUUGAGGGCCAUUCUCAGACCAGUCCAUCCCAACACCUAAGAUGAAGCUUAAACGCUGUAGGGAGGGUCAUCGUGCAGUAUGACCACAUUGUGCUCACGUUGGAUGGACAGUUAAUCACAGAGGAGAGCGAGGACAUCUCAACGGCACUGGGACUCCUCCUGUACCAGUGGUUCUCAAUUCCAGUCCUGGCGACCUGCCCCCACAUGUUGUAUAUGUCUCACUUAUUUAAUACACCUGAUUCAGAUCAUGAGCUCGUUAGAAAAGAGCUCCAUGAAUGAACUGUGCUCUGACUGACAUGGUCCCUACACAGUGUCCCUACGCGGAAGAUUCAUUCACAGAUGUACACUACUUCCUGUCACUGUAAGUCAAUAUUCUCCAUUUCUGGGCCUCUUCCAGGUCUAGUUGCAAUUUCUAUUGUUUUUUAAAUCCUGAAGGACUUACAAAAAUGUUAGUA